rnacentral:rRNA from 1 species
GACGAACGCUGGCGGCGCGCCUAACACAUGCAAGUCGAACGAGAGAGAGGGAGCUUGCUUCCUUGAUCGAGUGGCGAACGGGUGAGUAACGCGUGAGGAACCUGCCUCGAAGAGGGGGACAACAGUUGGAAACGACUGCUAAUACCGCAUAAGCCCACGACCCGGCAUCGGGUUGAGGGAAAAGGAGCAAUCCGCUUUGAGAUGGCCUCGCGUCCGAUUAGCUAGUUGGUGAGGUAACGGCCCACCAAGGCGACGAUCGGUAGCCGGACUGAGAGGUUGAACGGCCACAUUGGGACUGAGACACGGCCCAGACUCCUACGGGAGGCAGCAGUGGGGAAUAUUGC